rnacentral:lncRNA from 1 species
GAGUGUCUUGCUCCGCCUUCAGCUGAGGUGUGGGCGCAGCCCUUUUCCACGAGGAGCUCUGGUGAACAAGUGCGAGUCCUCUACAUGUGGUGCUCUGCAAGCAAGUGAAAAUAGACUAAGCUCAAAGGAAAGAAAAGCGCUUGAUGACAAUUUUACCAAAAUGCUACCAUGUCCAUUGAUCACCUUUGAGAUUAAAAGAAAUAUUGUGAGGAAGACUGGUGUAUGAUCAGUCAGAUUAAUGAUUACUUAAGGUGAAAUGGAAGCUAAAAAAGAUUCAACAUCAGUCAUCUAUGGAAAAUGAAUAGGUGAUCUUCUAGGUAUGUUCCAAGCUUUAGUAAUUCAUGACCUAAGGAAUAACUGUAGUCAUGAAGUUAAGAUGUAAAUGUUUAAUUACAAUAAUUACCAACAAUGUUUCUGUACACUAUAGUAGAGAAGCUAGAGAAAAGUGUAUGUGAGUGUAAAACACUUAAAGUUGAUAUACAAGAGAAAUGUUUUAUUAAUUUAUUGGAAGAUAUUUCAUUUUUCUCAUACAAAAGUAUUACCUAGUGAUAUCUAAUGACUUUCCAUGUUUUGUUGUUAUUAUCAUUUUGACCUCUUGUGUUUCAUAAUAUGUUUGCAAACAAUUACAUCCAUCUAGGGGAAAUUGUUUAGAGACCUAACAGCCUUCUAUGAGUCAAAAUCAUUUGUGCAUAGAACAAGUAAAAAUCAUUUAACAUAUAGGAAUAUAACAUGUAUAGCUGGUAAAUCUGAAAUUGCUAAUGUAGAUUGCCACUCCAGUCAAUAUAUAUCAAACAUUUCUAUCAAAUGUACCAUCUAUCAUGUAUGUGCAUUGCUUUUGUAGUUUUUAUUUCCCUUUUUAUUGUAGAAAGUAUAUAUUACUGUGACUAAAAACUACUCUUUGGGGAAUACAGUGGUUUCCAGGUCAGUGGAAAUGUGGAUUUAAAUAUUAAAAAGUGGAGUAGUUUAACCCUAGUUUGACCUUUAUCACCUCUCAGGUGAAUUGGGUGUAUUUGAAAGAAUGUAUCUGAAAAACAACAGAAUAGCGAAAAAAUUACAUCUGUGUAACCCUGUGGUCAAUCCAAUAACAGUAUUUUUAAUGAAUAAGUUCAAAACAGUAUACAUGUGUGUAUGUCCACUGUGUCUCUUUGUUUGUGCAUAUUUGUAUUUAUGUACUUAUGUAUUUUCAAUGCAUUGUCUGUCUUGUGAAUAUUUCAGUCUUUCAAGACAUCAUUUGCUUUUUCUACCAAAAUAUCAAUCUCCAUUUAUAUUACUCUAGCAAGUAAACUUCAAGCUUCAAAUAAGUUAAGAAAUACUGCCAUGAAAGCUGGAAAGAAGGAGUCUAAAGACCAACUUAUUGGAAUUCCUGCUAUGGCUCAGUGGGUUAAGAACCUAACUAGCAUCCAUGAGGAUGUGGGGUUCAUUCCUUGGCCUUGCUCAGUGGAUUAAGGAUCCGGUGUUGCUGUGAGCUCUGGUGUAGGUUGCAGACACGGCUCGGAUCCUGUGUUGCUGUGGCUGUGGUAUAGGGCCACAGCUGCAGCUCCAAUUCUACUCCUGGCCUGGGAACUUCCUUAUGCCAUGGAUGUGGCCCUAAAAAAGCAAAAAAAAAAAAAAAAAAA